AAUGAACGCUGGCGGCAGGCCUAACCCAUGCAAGUCGAGCGCGCGCAGGACGGGUGAGUAAUGUAUGGGGACUGCCCGAUCGAGGGGGAUAAUUACUGGAAACGGUGGCUAAUACCGCAUACUCUCGGAUAACCCAUAUGGGAUUAGCUAGUAGGUGGGGUAAAGGCUCACCUAGUCGACGAUCUCUAGCUGGUCUGAGAGGAUGGUAAGCCAAACUGGGGCGGGUACACGGCCCAAUAUGCUACGGAGGCAGCAGUGGAGAAUAUUGCGCAUUGGACGGAAGCCUGAAGCAACCAUGCCACGUGUAUGAAGGAAGCCUAGGGUUUGUAAAGUACAUUCAGCGGGGAUGCGUUACCCGCAGAAGAAGCACCGGCUAACUCCGUGACGUCAGCCGCGGUAAUAC
rnacentral:rRNA from 1 species